rnacentral:hammerhead_ribozyme from 1 species
GUACUACCGACGAGUCCCACACUAGGACGAAACAGCUGUCCACUAC